ensembl:lncRNA
CCACUGUAAUAUUCUAUUACUCUCUCCCCUCUAUUCAUAAAUACCAACCGCUCUGUCUCUCCCAAUGAUGCCAGGAGGCUACUAAGUUUCCUCAUUCUCUUCCUAACUCAACACUCUACAGACAAUAUGAAAAUGUGCUGAUGAACAAAACAUGCUUCUGGAGCAGCACUGUCCAACAGAACUUUCUGUGACCAGAGAAAUGUUCGACAAUAUCUGUGUUGUCUAAUACAGUAGCCUCUAACCACAGGUGCCUACUGAAAGCACAUGUGGCUAGUGUGACAUUAAUUUAUGUAGUCACACGUGGCUAGCAGCUACUGAACUGAACAGCACAGUUCUAGAGAAAUAAUAUAACAAGAACAUGUACGCCACAGAAAGAAGCAACUUAUCAAAAUAUGAUGGCAACUCACCAACAAUAAAACAAUUCAAGGGAGAAGUAUAACGGAGUAAAGCUGAGAAAUGCACAACCCCCAAACACAAGUCUCUCUGAAACAUCUCCUCACCCUUAAGACUGUUUACAUAUCAACUUCAUUUACACUACCACUGCACUUUGCACAUGUGUGGUGUAGAACAAACUGUACGUUAAGUACAUGAUUAUAUUCUCCCUCACUGGGCUGUGAGCAUCUUAAGAACAGAGGCAGUUAUUAACACAUACACCACCAGCACCUAUCACCUAUACUCAAAGGCUUUCUACAACAAUAAACGUUUUUUCUUUCAUUCAGUUCUAGUGGGAAAAUUAUCACCUUAGCUCCUUCAACUACAAAUUCAAUUCAGUUCUGCAAGCAUUUGAGUACCAGCAGUAUACAUAAAAGGCAGUCCCUGUAAGGAGCUUACAGUGGGGAUAGGGGAUAAAAGACAUGAGUAGACAAAUAACAAGCGUUACCACAUAAGUACGUACAACUAGGGCUUCAGGACAGAAUAGGGAACUGUCAGGAGUCUCGGUGCUAAGAGAAACUGGAAAGCAGUGUCCUGGAAAUGUGCUAAUUAGAAGAGUUAUACAGUACAAUCUCCUGGUCAGUUUUCAGGCAACCUCUGGAGCUAAAAGUAAAGUAGCCUGAAUUCAUUUAGUAAGUAUAUUUUCUGUUUCCUCUAAAAAUCAGUGGGGUGAGGGGGGUGAUGGUAAUGAUGAAUCUGCAAAUUCAUAAAAACACCAGGCAUUAUCCUGUAGACCAAAUAAGUUGAAAGUAUAACUCCUAUCAUGUAGACGCUUGCAAACUGGAAGACUAGGGCCCAACAGUUCUGCACUGUAACUUCUUCAGACAAGAUUUUUAAAAUCAACAUCCAAUUUUCUCAUCUUUAUCAGCACACAGAUUAUUCAUGACAAAAGUCAGAGAAAAUCUGUUUAGUUUUUCUAGAUUGACUGGGCCAGUUAAUUACUUAACUUCUUUGAGCCUGUUUUCCCAAAUUUAAGAUUAAAGAGGGAGACUAGAUGCUCUCAGAGAAGAAAACUGACAAUUAACUCAGAUAAUUACUUACUGAUUGACUUCAGCAAGACUUCUGGUUCAAUCCUAAUUCGUCCACAAACAGGAAAAAUACAGAAGUGUGGUGGUUAUCAAAAUAUGUCAUAAAUUCUUUGAUCCUCUUCAAGACAUGGAGCUUAAUUCCUCUUCCUUUGGCUGUAGGAUGGACUUCGUGACCUACUUUUAACUAACAUAAUGUGGCAGUGAUGGUUUGGGGAAGCCAACCAUCACCAGGCUGUGAGGACACUGAAAGCAGUCCAGUGAAGAACUGAGACCUGCCAAUGGCGAGCACUAACCCACCUGAGUGUGAGCCUCCUGGGAAGCAGAUGCUCUAGCCCAGUUAACAUCUUUUUUA